AAGCGGGUAAGUUAAAUUUAAACUACGGGGUUCAUGUCCCCAUAAUAUGUUUUUUCAUUCCGCUGA
rnacentral:tRNA from 1 species